rnacentral:rRNA from 1 species
UUCGGCCAUAGUGGCGCACGGGUGAGUAACGCGUGGGAACCUGCCCAGCAGUGGGGAAUAACAUCGGGAAACCGGGGCUAAUACCGCAUACGCCCUUAGGGGGAAAGAUUUAUUGCUGUUGGAGGGGCCCGCGUCCGAUUAGUUUGUUGGUGGGGUAAUGGCCUACCAAGACUACGAUCGGUAGCUGGUCUGAGAGGAUGAUCAGCCACACUGGGACUGAGACACGGCCCAGACUCCUACGGGAGGCAGCAGUGGGGAAUAUUGGACAAUGGGCGCAAGCCUGAUCCAGCAAUGCCGCGUGAGUGAUGAAGGCCUUAGGGUUGUAAAGCUCUUUCGGCGGGGACGAUGAUGACGGUACCCGCAGAGGAAGCCCCGGCUAACUUCGUGCCAGCAGCCGCGGUAAUACGAAGGGGGCUAGCGUUGUUCGGAAUUACUGGGCGUAAAGAGCACGUAGGCGGUUCGUUAAA